rnacentral:rRNA from 1 species
UUAUUGAGAGUUUGAUCCUGGCUCAGGAUGAACGCUAGCGGCGUGGAUAAGGCAUGCAAGUCGAGGGAGGUGUAAAACCGACCGGCGAACGGGUUAGUAACACGUAGGUACGUACCCUGAAGUCUCGGAUAGCCCGGAGAAAUCCGGGGUAAUACGAGAUGGCCCUGCAAAGGUAAAGAUUUAUCGCUUCAGGAUCGGCCUGCGUCCUAUCAGCUAGUUGGCGAGGUAACGGCUCACCAAGGCUAUGACGGGUAGGGGGCAUGAGAGUGUGUUCCCCAACAAGGGCACUGCGACACGGGCCCUACUCCUACGGGAGGCAGCAGUCGAGAAUCUUCCACAAUGGGCGAAAGCCUGAUGGAGCGACGCCGCGUGCUUGAAGAAGCCCUUCGGGGUGUAAAGAGCUUUUCUGGGGGAACAACCUUUUGGUGAGUGUACCCCAGGAAUAAGGGGAGGCUAAUCACGUGCCAGCAGCUGCGGUAAUACGUGAUCCUCGAGCGUUAUCCGGAUUUACUGGGCGUAAAGAGUUCGUAGGUGCAUUGUUAGGUUUUCUGUCAAAGGUUGAGGCUUAACCUCAAAAACGCAGAAAAAACCGGCAAAGUAGAGGGCGUUAGAGGCUGAUAGAACGGUCAGUGUAGGGGUGAAAUCCGUUGAUAUUGACCGGAAUACCAAAAGCGAAGGCAUUCAGCUGGGGCGACCCUGACACUGAGGAACGAAAGCGUGGGUAGCGAACGAGAUUAGAUACCUCGGUAGUCCACGCUGUAAACGAUGGAUACUGGCUAUUUGAAGUGUCGACCCUUCAAGUGGCGAAGCUAACGCGUUAAGUAUCCCGCCUGGGAAGUACGGCCGCAAGGCUAAAACUCAAAGGAAUAGACGGGGCUUUACACAAGCGGUGGAUCAUGUGGCUUAAUUCGAUAACAAGCGAAGAACCUUACCAGGGCUUGACACCUAGACGAAAGCCUGCAGAAACGCAGGCCCUCCACAAGACGGCUAGGCAGGUGCUGCAUGGUUGUCGUCAGCUCGUACUAUGAAGCGUACGCUUAAGUGCGGUAACGAGCGCAACCCUCGCCCUAUGUUUUAUAUGUCAUAGGGAACUGCCCGGGAUAACUGGGAGGAAGGCGAGGAUGACGCCAAAUCAGCAUGGCCCUUUGACGCCCUGGGCUGCACACGUGAUACAAUGGGACUGACAAUGGGCAAAGCCGCAAGGCGGAGAAAAAUCCCACCAAACGGUCCCCCAAUUCGGAUUGAGGUCUGAAACCCGACCUCAUGAAGCCGGAAUCGCUAGUAAUCGCCAAUCAGCCAUGUGGCGAUGAAUAUGUUCCUAAAGCUUGUACUCACCGCCUGUCACACCAGGAAAGCUGGCAGCGCCCGAAA